rnacentral:rRNA from 1 species
CGAAAAGGGGGGGGAGCAAACAGGAUUAGAUACCCUGGUAGGCCACGCCGUAAACGAUGAGUGCUAGAUGGAGGGAGCUAUAAGUUCUCUGUAUCGCAGCUAACGCAAUAAGCACUCCGCCUGGGGAGUACGACCGCAAGGUUGAAACUCAAAGGAAUUGACGGGGGCCCGCACAAGCGGUGGAGCAUGUGGUUUAAUUCGAAAAA